UACGAAGGGGGCUAGCGUUGUUCGGAAUUACUGGGCGUAAAGCGCGCGUAGGCGGCUUUGUAAGUUAGAGGUGAAAGCCCGGGGCUCAACCCCGGAAUUGCCUUUAAGACUGCAUCGCUAGAAUCCAGGAGAGGUGAGUGGAAUUCCGAGUGUAGAGGUGAAAUUCGUAGAUAUUCGGAAGAACACCAGUGGCGAAGGCGGCUCACUGGACUGGUAUUGACGCUGAGGUGGCGAAAGCGUGGGGAGCAAACAGG
rnacentral:rRNA from 1 species